CAACAGUACAAUCGAAAAAAACGCUAUAGUUUUGUUAUAAAAUUUGAACAGCAAACAAAUUGGCUACUGUCAUGAUGACUAAGCACAUUUUUGGAAAGGCGAUGAAAACAUUAGAAACCAACGAUCAAAUAGGUUUAGCGAAUUUAUAGCUCCAUAACCUUAGAGCUAUAUAAUGAGCUUUGAAGCCGACAACUAAUGCCCUUGGACAGUAUUACACAUAAAAAACAUGCAUUGCAUGUGCAGCGAGAGACCUGUUGCAUCGUCAUGGCGAGAAUGCAUCUCGUCAACGAAAUUCGGAUCUAAAUCUUAUAACUACUAGUACUCACUUACCUGUCGUAGGAAGAAAUCCGACGUAAAAGGCUUACGUUCCUGAAGCAUUCUAACGUUUCGAAGAUUGACAGCACUCUGAGUGAACUGGACGACGGCACUGGGCUUUAUGAACACAGGUGAUGUUGUGGCAAUGCUUCGCAAUGGCAACCAGAGAACCUGUCUGGAGGUGGCUAAAACGCGAGUCACUGUGGUCAUGAUUACCUAAAGAGAGAAAUCAUAUUAGUAAAUGGAACCGAAUAUUAUUAUACACCCCUAUUUAUUCUCGGUGUCUCAUGUCUGGCAUAAUGCAUCGAUAAAGUGAUGACAUUAUCAAUCGCGCGAAGAGAUAAGAAACAUCGAAUUUGGUUUAAAUCAAAAUCAGAUAAAUACUGAAACUAACAGCAGGUUUCCAAUGAGGUAGAUGUAUUACGAACAAAAUGCUGAAAUAUACUAACAAACACUACCGCGAAGAUUACCUCGGAAGCCGCACCGAAAAACCAAUCAACGUUUGGAGAAAUCCACGAAAAUAAAAAUAAACCAAGGAUCGAAGAUGGAUUGGUCUUGACUUUUCAUCAACAACCGGGAGAAAAGUGUGUACAUUGUACUGAUUAACACCUCGGCAAAUAAUGCAACGGUCCAUUUGACGCAUUCCACUUGUUAUCUCAUCCAUAGACUUAAACAAAAAUAACAAUCAUUACGCACACUGAUAAGCUUGGAGGAGUGACAGCCGUACGAAGGUCACGUACGCCCAAAUAUGAGAAUGACUGUUUUAUAUGUAUUCGGUAUAUGGCAAAAAGGUUAUAUGUGGAAGUGUUGUCUCACCGGGUAUGUAAGCUCCUGGUACGGUGUACACGGUGACAGGAAAUUACUUAAAAUUAUACAAGAAUUACAAAUUGAACAAUAAGAUCUUACUUCAAAUUGGUCCAAUCGAAAACUUUAUUUGGAAAUUAUUAAGUCAUGGUACCAAUUGAAAUCAUAACGUAACACACAUGAUAACGUAAGAUUAGAAUUUCAAUUCAAAGAAUUAUUCAUUGAUAAAAGACGAGUGGGUAGUGUCAGAGACAUAACUGGAGGACAUGAAUACGAAUAAAACUGACAUGAUUUUUUUUACACGUUCAUACAUGCUCUCAAGACAAUUAAAUAAUUCGGAAUAAAUGAGAAUAAAAAAAUACAACAAACAA